ACUCUAAGCGGUGGAUCACUCGGCUCAUGGGUCGAUGAAGAACGCAGCAAACUGUGCGUCAUCGUGUGAACUGCAGGACACAUGAACAUCGACAUUUUGAACGCAUAUCGCAGUCCAUGCUGUUAUGUACUUUAAUUAAUUUUAUAGUGCUGCUUGGACUACAUAUGGUUGAGGGUUGUAAGACUAUGCUAAUUAAGUUGCUUAUAAAUUUUUAUAAGCAUAUGGUAUAUUAUUGGAUAAAUAUAAUAAUUUUUAUUCAUAAUAUUAAAAAAUAAAUGAAAAACAUUAUCUCACAUUUGAAUGUGAAAAACGAAGAGAAAUAUUUUCUUUUUCAAUCAAAUAAUACUGAGAAAUGUCUAGCAUAAAAAAUUGAAAUAUUUUUCAUCUAGAAUUGUCUCUUAUUAAUGAUUCGGAAAUAGAAAAAUCUUGGUUAUGUUAUUAUUCUUCGUUGGUUCGUUAAAAAUGGAUAAAUAAAAACUUUGCAUACAAGAAUUAAUAAAAAUGUUAUAACGAAUUUAAUUAAAUGUUUUAUCAUUAUAUAUAAAGAAUUUAUGGCAAGAUAAAGUUAUAUACAACCUCAACUCAUAUGGGACUACCCCCUGAAUUUAAGCAUAUUAAUUAGGGGAGGAAAAGAAACUAACAAGGAUUUUCUUAGUAGCGGCGAGCGAAAAGAAAACAGUUCAGCACUAAGUCACUUUGUCUAUAUGGCAAAUGUGAGAUGCAGUGUAUGGAGCGUCAAUAUUCUAGUAUGAGAAAUUAACGAUUUAAGUCCUUCUUAAAUGAGGCCAUUUACCCAUAGAGGGUGCCAGGCCCGUAUAACGUUAAUGAUUACUAGAUGAUGUUUCCAAAGAGUCGUGUUGCUUGAUAGUGCAGCACUAAGUGGGUGGUAAACUCCAUCUAAAACUAAAUAUAACCAUGAGACCGAUAGUAAACAAGUACCGUGAGGGAAAGUUGAAAAGAACUCUGAAUAGAGAGUUAAACAGUACGUGAAACUGCUUAGAGGUUAAGCCCGAUGAACCUGAAUAUCCGUUAUGGAAAAUUCAUCAUUAAAAUUGUAAUAUUUAAAUAAUAUUAUGAGAAUAGUGUGCAUUUUUUCCAUAUAAGGACAUUGUAAUCUAUUAGCAUAUACCAAAUUUAUCAUAAAAUAUAACUUAUAGUUUAUUCCAAUUAAAUUGCUUGCAUUUUAACACAGAAUAAAUGUUAUUAAUUUGAUAAAGUGCUGAUAGAUUUAUAUGAUUACAGUGCGUUAAUUUUUCGGAAUUAUAUAAUGGCAUAAUUAUCAUUGAUUUUUGUGUUUAUUAUAUGCACUUGUAUGAUUAACAAUGCGAAAGAUUCAGGAUACCUUCGGGACCCGUCUUGAAACACGGACCAAGGAGUCUAACAUAUGUGCAAGUUAUUGGGAUAUAAACCUAAUAGCGUAAUUAACUUGACUAAUAAUGGGAUUAGUUUUUUAGCUAUUUAUAGCUAAUUAACACAAUCCCGGGGCGUUCUAUAUAGUUAUGUAUAAUGUAUAUUUAUAUUAUUUAUGCCUCUAACUGGAACGUACCUUGAGCAUAUAUGCUGUGACCCGAAAGAUGGUGAACUAUACUUGAUCAGGUUGAAGUCAGGGGAAACCCUGAUGGAAGACCGAAACAGUUCUGACGUGCAAAUCGAUUGUCAGAAUUGAGUAUAGGGGCGAAAGACCAAUCGAACCAUCUAGUAGCUGGUUCCUUCCGAAGUUUCCCUCAGGAUAGCUGGUGCAUUUUAAUAUUAUAUAAAAUAAUCUUAUCUGGUAAAGCGAAUGAUUAGAGGCCUUAGGGUCGAAACGAUCUUAACCUAUUCUCAAACUUUAAAUGGGUAAGAACCUUAACUUUCUUGAUAUGAAGUUCAAGGUUAUGAUAUAAUGUGCCCAGUGGGCCACUUUUGGUAAGCAGAACUGGCGCUGUGGGAUGAACCAAACGUAAUGUUACGGUGCCCAAAUUAACAACUCAUGCAGAUACCAUGAAAGGCGUUGGUUGCUUAAAACAGCAGGACGGUGAUCAUGGAAGUCGAAAUCCGCUAAGGAGUGUGUAACAACUCACCUGCCGAAGCAACUAGCCCUUAAAAUGGAUGGCGCUUAAGUUGUAUACCUAUACAUUACCGCUAAAGUAGAUGAUUUAUAUUACUUGUGAUAUAAAUUUUGAAACUUUAGUGAGUAGGAAGGUACAAUGGUAUGCGUAGAAGUGUUUGGCGUAAGCCUGCAUGGAGCUGCCAUUGGUACAGAUCUUGGUGGUAGUAGCAAAUAAUCGAAUGAGACCUUGGAGGACUGAAGUGGAGAAGGGUUUCGUGUGAACAGUGGUUGAUCACGAGUUAGUCGGUCCUAAGUUCAAGGCGAAAGCCGAAAAUUUUCAAGUAAAACAAAAAUGCCUAACUAUAUAAACAAAGCGAAUUAUAAUACACUUGAAUAAUUUUGAACGAAAGGGAAUACGGUUCCAAUUCCGUAACCUGUUGAGUAUCCGUUUGUUAUUAAAUAUGGGCCUCGUGCUCAUCCUGGCAACAGGAACGACCAUAAAGAAGCCGUCGAGAGAUAUCGGAAGAGUUUUCUUUUCUGUUUUAUAGCCGUACUACCAUGGAAGUCUUUCGCAGAGAGAUAUGGUAGAUGGGCUAGAAGAGCAUGACAUAUACUGUUGUGUCGAUAUUUUCUCCUCGGACCUUGAAAAUUUAUGGUGGGGACACGCAAACUUCUCAACAGGCCGUACCAAUAUCCGCAGCUGGUCUCCAAGGUGAAGAGUCUCUAGUCGAUAGAAUAAUGUAGGUAAGGGAAGUCGGCAAAUUAGAUCCGUAACUUCGGGAUAAGGAUUGGCUCUGAAGAUUGAGAUAGUCGGGCUUGAUUGGGAAACAAUAACAUGGUUUAUGUGCUCGUUCUGGGUAAAUAGAGUUUCUAGCAUUUAUGUUAGUUACUUGUUCCCCGGAUAGUUUAGUUACGUAGCCAAUUGUGGAACUUUCUUGCUAAAAUUUUUAAGAAUACUAUUUGGGUUAAACCAAUUAGUUCUUAUUAAUUAUAACGAUUAUCAAUUAACAAUCAAUUCAGAACUGGCACGGACUUGGGGAAUCCGACUGUCUAAUUAAAACAAAGCAUUGUGAUGGCCCUAGCGGGUGUUGACACAAUGUGAUUUUCUGCCCAGUGCUCUGAAUGUCAAAGUGAAGAAAUUCAAGUAAGCGCGGGUCAACGGCGGGAGUAACUAUGACUCUCUUAAGGUAGCCAAAUGCCUCGUCAUCUAAUUAGUGACGCGCAUGAAUGGAUUAACGAGAUUCCUACUGUCCCUAUCUACUAUCUAGCGAAACCACAGCCAAGGGAACGGGCUUGGAAUAAUUAGCGGGGAAAGAAGACCCUUUUGAGCUUGACUCUAAUCUGGCAGUGUAAGGAGACAUAAGAGGUGUAGAAUAAGUGGGAGAUAUUAGACCUCGGUUUGGUAUCGUCAAUGAAAUACCACUACUCUUAUUGUUUCCUUACUUACUUGAUUAAAUGGAACGUGUAUCAUUUCCUAGCCAUUAU
rnacentral:rRNA from 1 species